AUUGAACGCUGGCGGCAGGCUUAACACAUGCAAGUCGAGCGGAGUGAUGGUGCUUGCACUAUCACUUAGCGGCGGACGGGUGAGUAAUGCUUAGGAAUCUGCCAUUUAGUGGGGGACAACAUUCCGAAAGGAAUGCUAAUACCGCAUACGUCCUACGGGAGAAAGCAGGGGAUCUUCGGACCUUGCGCUAAAUGAUGAGCCUAAGUCGGAUUAGCUAGCUGGUGGGGUAAAGGCCUACCAAGGCGACGAUCUGUAGCGGGUCUGAGAGGAUGAUCCGCCACACUGGGACUGAGACACGGCCCAGACUCCUACGGGAGGCAGCAGUGGGGAAUAUUGGACAAUGGGCGGAAGCCUGAUCCAGCCAUGCCGCGUGUGUGAAGAAGGCCUUUUGGUUGUAAAGCACUUUAAGCGAGGAGGAGGCUCUCCUAGUUAAUACCUAGGAAGAGUGGACGUUACUCGCAGAAUAAGCACCGGCUAACUCUGUGCCAGCAGCCGCAGUAACAC
rnacentral:rRNA from 1 species